rnacentral:rRNA from 1 species
UGCCCAGACUCCUACGGGAGGCAGCAGUGGGGGAUAUUGCACAAUGGGGGAAACCCUGAUGCAGCGACGCCGCGUGGGUGAAGAAGCGCCUCGGCGCGUAAAGCCCUGUCAGCAGGGAAGAAAAUGACGGUACCUGAAUAAGAAGCACCGGCUAAAUACGUGCCAGCAGCCGCGGUAAUACGUAUGGUGCAAGCGUUAUCCGGAUUUACUGGGCGUAAAGGGAGCGCAGGCGGCGCGCCAAGUCUGAUGUGAAACCCCGGGGCUCAACCCCGGGCAUGCAUUGGAAACUGGCGGGCUGGAGUGCCGGAGAGGUAAGCGGAAUUCCUAGUGUAGCGGUGAAAUGCGUAGAUAUUAGGAGGAACACCAGUGGCGAAGGCGGCCUGCUGGACGAUGACUGACGCUGAGGCUCGAAAGCGUGGGGAGCAAACAGGAUUAGAUACCCGAGUACA